UACGUAGGUGACCAGCGUUGUCCGGAUUUACUGGGCGUAAAGAGCGCGCAGGCGGUCGUUCAAGUCGAGCGUGAAAGCCCCCGGCUCAACUGGGGAGGGUCAUUCGAUACUGAUCGACUGGAAGGCAGGAGAGGGAAGCGGAAUUCCCGGUGUAGCGGUGAAAUGCGCAGAUAUCGGGAGGAACACCGGUGGCGAAGGCGGUUCUCUAGUACGGUACUGACGCUGAGACGCGAAAGCGUGGGGAGCGAACAGG
rnacentral:rRNA from 1 species